AUUGAACGCUGGCGGCAGGCCUAACACAUGCCAGUCGAACGGUAACAGGAAACAGCUUGCUGUUUCGCUGACGAGUGGCGGACGGGUGAGUAAUGUCUGGGAAACUGCCUGAUGGAGGGGGAUAACUACUGGAAACGGUAGCUAAUACUGCAUAACGUCGCAAGACCAAAGAGGGGGACCCUCGGGCCUCUUGCCAUCGGAUGUGCCCAGAUGGGAUUAGCUUGUUGGUGGGGUAACGGCUCACCAAGGCGACGAUCCCUAGCUGGUCUGAGAGGAUGACCAGCCACACUGGAACUGAGACACGGGCCAGACUCCUACGGGAGGCAGCAGGGGGGAAUAUUGCACAAUGGGCGCAAGCCUGAUGCAGCCAUGCCGCGUGUAUGAAGAAGGCCUUCGGGUUGUAAAGUACUUUCAGCGGGGAGGAAGGGAGUAAAGUUAAUACCUUUGCUCAUUGACGUUACCCGCAGAAGAAGCACCGGCUAACUCCGU
rnacentral:rRNA from 1 species